rnacentral:lncRNA from 1 species
CAAUUUCAUUUUAAAUACAACCGCAAACUCUUCGCGACAUUCAGUUUCUGAUAUCGUCUUCCUCUUCUCCAUUUUCUCUUGCAGCCUCUUCCUUUUCUCGCUUGCGGCACCUCUUCUUUUUCUCUCUUGCGGCAUUCCGUUGUUGUUUCUGAUUUCUUUAUCGUCUGCCUCUUCUUCUUUUUCUCUCUUGCAGCAUCCCAGGUGCGUGGUUUUUUUUUAUG